GACGAACGCUGGCGGCGUGCCUAAUACAUGCAAGUUGAGCGCUGAAGGUUGGUACUUGUACCGACUGGAUGAGCAGCGAACGGGUGAGUAACGCGUGGGGAAUCUGCCUUUGAGCGGGGGACAACAUUUGGAAACGAAUGCUAAUACCGCAUAAAAACUUUAAACACAAGUUUUAAGUUUGAAAGAUGCAAUUGCAUCACUCAAAGAUGAUCCCGCGUUGUAUUAGCUAGUUGGUGAGGUAAAGGCUCACCAAGGCGAUGAUACAUAGCCGACCUGAGAGGGUGAUCGGCCACAUUGGAACUGAGACACGGCCCAAACUCCUACGGGAGGCAGCAGUAGGGAAUCUUCGGCAAUGGACGAAAGUCUGACCGAGCAACGCCGCGUGAGUGAAGAAGGUUUUCGGAUCGUAAAACUCUGUUGGUAGAGAAGAACGUUGGUGAGAGUGGAAAGCUCAUCAAGUGACGGUAACUACCCAGAAAGGGACGGCUAACUACGUG
rnacentral:rRNA from 1 species